GACGAACGCUGGCGGCGUGCUUAACACAUGCAAGUCGAACGGGCCCGCCCCUGUUUUUGGGGGUGGGUUGAGUGGCGAACGGGUGAGUAUCACGUGAGUAACCUGCCCCCUGCUCCUGGAUAACUGCUUGAAAGGGCGGCUAAUUCGGGGUGUGCCGGCUGGUCCGCAUGGGCCUGGUCGGGAUAGUUUCAUCUUCGGGUGUUUCGGUGGGGGAUGGGCUCGCGGCCUAUCAGCUUGUUGGUGGGGUGAUGGCCCACCAAGGCGGUGACGGGUAGCCGGCCUGAGAGGGUGGGCGGCCACACUGGGACUGAGACACGGCCCAGACUCCUGCGGGAGGCAGCAGUGGGGGGUAUUGCACAAUGGGCGGAAGCCUGAUGCAGCGACGUCGCGUGAGGGAUGGAGGCCUUCGGGUUGUGAACCUCUUUCUCCGGGGGUGAAGGCCCUGUCCGUUGCGGCGGGGUUGACGGUAGCCGGGUAUGAAGCGCCGGCUAACUACGUG
rnacentral:rRNA from 1 species